UACGAAGGGGGCUAGCGUUGCUCGGAAUUACUGGGCGUAAAGCGCACGUAGGCGGCUUUUUAAGUCAGGGGUGAAAUCCCGGAGCUCAACUCCAGAACUGCCUUUGAUACUGAGAAGCUUGAGUCCGGGAGAGGUGAGUGGAACUGCGAGUGUAGAGGUGAAAUUCGUAGAUAUUCGCAAGAACACCGGUGGCGAAGGCGGCUCACUGGCCCGGUACUGACGCUGAGACGCGAAAGCGUGGGGAGCGAACAGG
rnacentral:rRNA from 1 species